rnacentral:lncRNA from 1 species
AUAAUUAAAUACUUACAUAUUGUUGUUCCGCCUCAGUUGUAACAAAUACAUCAUUCUUAUCGGUAUGAGCUUUGCGAAACGUUUCCACUCUCUUAAGGUUCUGUUUAACUUUAAAAAUUAGAUUAUAUUUUAAAUAAAUAAUUACAUAUAUCGUACGUUACCUUCUUAUAGCAACUACUGCUAUACGAGCUCGACCCCCACGAUUCGCAUUUGUUUGCAUUUCACGGAUUUUUUUGUUCUUUUCUGAAGCAAUUAUGUGUUCGUUUGUUUGGAAAUACUCAACUGCUUUUUUCCACUUAUCAACUUCCAUACCCUCUGGAGGGUUGGCUAUUGCUCUCGGGAUAUCUUCAUACCCUCCGACUAACAUAAAAUAUUCUUUUGCGUCAGCUUUACGUUCUCGAUAACCUUUUAACAAAGCUGCUUGGAAACUCUCUGUCAACAUAUUAACUUGUCAUCUCGGUACAUCUAAUCUAAAUCAAACUUUGUCUACAAAUAAAAAAGUUAACCAAGUAAAAAACAAUUAUAGUUAACCAUAUAAAAUAUAUUUAAAUAAAUAACUGCCGCUAAAUGUUGUAAUACGGUGUCCUGUAUUGCAGGGGAAACUUUUUUCCAAGUGCAUUUAUCAAAAGGGACCAUCUGCCACAUUGUUUUUCCAACUUCUCGGGAAAACAUGUCUUUCGGCUCUCCUACGGGAUCAAAUGUGAUAUCCCUAUCAUAUUCCAUGCUAAUCGGUUUGCCCUGGUUCCAUAAGAUCGUUUUUUCAAGCUUUAUAUUUUUCGAUUUGCCUCGAACUUUCCUUUGUGCAAGUUGCUCAACUACAAAUGUAAUUAAAAAUUAUUAGAAACGGUAUUUAAUUUAUAAUAGCUGAACAAAAAUAGUAAACAACAAUUCAUAACAAGACUUACCGUCCUGCUCGUGAUGACCAACACCUCUACCACCUGGGAGAGGUGCGUCCUCAGCUCCAUCACCCCCCGUGUCCACGACCCAUAACAGCUGCCAUGGUAUACAUAAACAAAAGCCAUAUUGUCAUCAUUUCUUGAAAAACUUAUAAGAUAUACAAAUAUAAUUUUUAUUACAAAUACACAUUACAUAGAAAUAAACAUUUACAUAGGAAUAAACAUUUCUAUUUAAACAAGAACUGUUCUAAUCAGAAUAUUCCUCAUAUCCUUCGGUGUCUUCUUCUGUAUCAUAAUCAUAAUCGGUCUCAUCGUAAUCAGUUUCGCAAUCAGAAACAUCAUUGACUAUACCAGUAUAGCAUCCUACUUAUACCAAAACCACAUACUUUUCCACAUAAUACACAAGAGAAUGAAAUUCACAUACUUUCACACACAUAUACCACGUAUACACCAAAUACAAAUACAUUCACAUACACACAAAAUAACAUCCUACUUAAAUUAAAUACACAUAUUUUCACAUAUAUAGCUAAUAACAUCCUAUUUAUACCAAAUACAAAAAUUUCACAAUCAUAUACCACAUUUACGACAAACAUACAUAUAUUCACAUACACACAAUAACAUCCUACUUAUAACAAAUACAUAUAAUUUCACAUAUAUAUAGAUAAUAACAUCAUGUAUAUACUUCUACCAAAUACUCAUACACCACAUAUACAUCAAACACACAUACAUUGGCAUAUAUACACCAAAUUCACAUAUAUUUAUACAAAUACCAAAUAUACAAUCUAAUUUUCACAUAUGGCAAUUUUCACAUACAAAUACGAAAUUCACAAAAAAAUGAAAUAAUAGAACCUGUAGUGGCGGAAAUCAACGGAUAUGUAGCCGGAAAAUUUGGUCUUCACCCGAAAAUACCCUCACCGGUAAACCCAAAGACAACACCACCAAAAACACUGAAAUUAAACAAUUUAUUGCAAUUUAAUCAUCAAAUUCGGCUCUUAAUAAUCACCAAAUGUCCCUAAAGACUAAACUACAAAUGGAAGUAAUACAAGAAUCAAAUUCAUUUUUUUUUCUAAUCCAAAGACAACACCACCAAAAACAAGAAAUUGAACAACUUAUGGCCAUUUAAUCAUCAAAUGCAGCUACAAAUCGAAAUUAACAUACAAAUUAAAAAGGAAACAACAAAAUCAACUAACAUUUCUUCAAGAAAUAAAGCUAGAAAUCGGUCAUAAAAGCCCUAACCACCCCUUGAUCCUUAAUCUCACACAAUGUGGGGAGAUAUGUAGUUGGAACAACCUAAUUGAAGACAAACUCGGUAGAAGCUGAAAGAGGCGUAGUGUGGGAUGCAACAAACAGAAAGCAAAAUGGGAGAAAUGAAGAAACUGCGUGCAUUUUUUUAUCUGCGAGAGCCUUUAGCGGCGACAAUUAGGGAUUUACCGACGACAACGGUCAAUAGCGGAGACAAUCUGAAGGGAAGGGUACCGCGUCAUUUUUUAACUAACUAUUAACGUCGACAUUUUUACCUUUUAGCGGCGACACAUAUGUCGCCGGUAUUAGGUUAGUGCGGAUAAGGGAC